rnacentral:tRNA from 1 species
CGGGGCGUAGCGCAGCCCGGAAGCGCGCACGGAUCGGGACCGUGAGGUCGGAGGUUCAAUUCCUCUCGCCCCGACCA